rnacentral:misc_RNA from 1 species
AAAAUCAACAAAAAAAAAAAAAAAGAAUUGUAAGAAAUUCAUGGUAAAUUGAUACAAUCUUAUAGCAAUUAGAUCAAAUAUAGUGCUAAUUAACAAUAAGAAUAUUUUCUUUACUAAAAAAACAAAUUAAGUAUAUUUAAAUAAAAAGAAAGAAAAGGAAGGCUAAUUAACCUGAGAUUAUAUGCGAAGCAAGAAAUAUCACGAUAUAUUACCUGUAAAAACCAGUCACAUUGCAAAGUUUCUCUUUUAUGAACAUUAAUUGCUAAAUCUUUUUAUCUUUCAAUGCCCUUCAUCUUCAACCAUCCUCACAAGCCAUGUAGGUUUUCUUGUUUUAAACACAACAUAUCCCAUUUCAAUUCCAAAUAUUAGUCCACAUGCAUACCCUGCCAAUAUAGCAUUCCACCCAAAUCCAUUUCUAGACUUGGAAUCAUCUUCCUUUGAUGCUGUUGGUUUUUGCCUCUCUCCAUUGCCACAUUUUGCUAGUGGAAGUCCACACAAUCCCAAAUUUCCUUCAUAUGAAGUGUUGUCAAAUGUGUUGAACUGCUUUCCUUCAGGUAUGGGUCCUUCAAGUCGAUUAUGCGAAACCCGAAAUACUUGCAAAAAUGUUAAAUCUGCCAAUUGCAUUGGAAUCCUUCCAGUAAGAAUAUUAAAAGAGAGGUCUAAUGAUUCCAAAUUACUCAAAUUCCCCAAUGAUGGUUGAAUAUUGCCUGUGAGUUGAUUGUGAGACAAGUUGAGCAGCUUAAGUGAUUUAAGCUUUCCAAUCGUUUGAGGAAUCUUCCCCGUGAAUUUAUUGCCCGACAAAUCAAUGGUUGUAAGAAGUGUUUGGAUUUUCACCAACUCAAUCUGCAAUCCUUUGAAUGUUAGACUAACAGAAUAAUUAUACGAAUAAAUUCGAUCCCCCAUGUAUUUCAUUUUCACAUCAAAAUUCGUCAUUGCUUCGAAAUUAUUGAAAUACUCUGUAGGUAAAGGUCCACUAAACAUGUUGUUGGACAGGUCAAAAAUUCGUAGCUUUAAAAACGAAUGAUUGGCAGAGGACCCUUUCACCAAGCCGUGGAGUUUAUUGGAUUGUAGCACUAGAACUUGUAGCUUCGGAAGAGUUUCCAAAAAAUGGGGGAAUGUGUCAUUUAUAGUAUUGUUGCCAAGAUCUAAAAUUUCCAAAUCUUUACAAUUGGAAAUGGAUGGUGGGAUUCUUCUUUGCAAUUGAUUGCCAUUGAAGUUCAAAUAUCUCAAGCUGCUGCCUACUGAAAAUGUUUCAGGGAUGGUUCCAUGGAACUUGUUCAUGCCCAAAUGCAGCACUGAUAAUUUGCUACUGAAAUUUCCCAAACAUUGUGGGAUGAAGCCGUUCAAACUAUUUUUUGACAAGUCAAGAAUUUCAAGAGAAUUUAGCUUGCAAACUGCAUAAGAGAGUUCUCCUAUCAGUUUGUUGGAUGAAAGAAUGAGAACACGCAAGUUCACAAGUUUGAAAAUUGAAUUUGGAAUUGGGCCAUGCAACUUGUUAUUGCUCAAAUCAAUAUACCCCAAUUGAUUACCUUGGAAUGGACCUAAAUGGCCGGUGAGCUGGUUAUUCUUGAGGAUUAAAAUGCACAAUUGAGGUAGGGUAAAUAGCAAGGGUGGUAUUGUUGAAUUUAACAAGUUAUUGGAUAAAUCGAGGUAUGUUACAUUUGAAAGCCUGCUUCCUUGGAAAGGGAUAGGACCUGUAAACCGAUUAUUUGAUAAAAAUAAUUCAUUGAAGUUUGUAACAUAAUUGGGAAUUUGACCACUGAGAUUGUUGUUUUGGAGGUCCAAAAUUUGAAGCUGUUCAAGGUUUUCAAAUGAGGAGGGAAUAUCACCCUUAAAAUUAUUAUAGGAGAGGUCC